UACGUAGGUGGCAAGCGUUGUCCGGAAUUACUGGGUGUAAAGGGCGUGUAGGCGGAGCUACAAGUCAGGGGUGAAAACUAUGGGCUUAACCCAUAGCCUGCCUUUGAAACUGUAGCCCUUGAGUGCUGGAGAGGCAAUCGGAAUUCCUAGUGUAGCGGUGAAAUUGCGUAGAUAUUAGGAGGAACACCAGUGGCGAAGGCGGAUUGCUGGACAGUAACUGACGCUGAGGCGCGAAAGCGUGGGGAGCAAAGAGGAUUAGAUACCCUGGUA
rnacentral:rRNA from 1 species